ACUCCUACGGGAGGCAGCAGUAGGGAAUCUUCCACAAUGGGCGCAAGCCUGAUGGAGCAACACCGCGUGAGCGAAGAAGGGUUUCGGCUCGUAAAGCUCUGUUGUUAAAGAAGAACACGUAUGAGAGUAACUGUUCAUACGUUGACGGUAUUUAACCAGAAAGUCACGGCUAACUACGUGCCAGCAGCCGCGGUAAUACGUAGGUGGCAAGCGUUAUCCGGAUUUAUUGGGCGUAAAGAGAGUGCAGGCGGUUUUCUAAGUCUGAUGUGAAAGCCUUCGGCUUAACCGGAGAAGUGCAUCGGAAACUGGAUAACUUGAGUGCAGAAGAGGGUAGUGGAACUCCAUGUGUAGCGGUGGAAUGCGUAGAUAUAUGGAAGAACACCAGUGACGAAGGCGGCUACCUGGUCUGCAACUGACGCUGAGACUCGAAAGCAUGGGUAGCGAACAGGAUUAGAUACCCCUGGUAGGAUAGCG
rnacentral:rRNA from 1 species